rnacentral:rRNA from 1 species
AUUGAACGCUGGCGGCAGGCCUAACACAUGCAAGUCGAGCGAGCGGCGGACGUGUGAGUAAUGUAUGGGGAUCUGCCCGAUGGAGGGGGAUAACUACUGGAAACGGUUGCUAAUACCGCAUACUAUCGGAUGAACCCAUAUGGGAUUAGCUAGUAGGUGGGGGAAAGGCUCACCUAGGCGACGAUCUCUAGCUGGUCUGAGAGGAGGACCAGCAACACUUGGACGGAGACACGGCCCAGACCACUACGGGAGGCAGCAGUGGGGAAUAUUGGACAAUGGGCGCAAGCCUGAUGCAGCCAUGCCGCGUGUAUGAAGAAGGCCUUAGGGUUGUAAAGUACUUUCAGCGGGGAGGCGUUACCCGCAGAAGAAGCACCGGCUAACUCCGUGCCAGCAGCCGCGGUAAUAC